GACUGCUAAUACCGGAUGUGCCUUCGGGUGAAAGAUUUAUUGCCUAGAGAUGAGCUCGCGUCAGAUUAGCUAGUAGGUGGUGUAAGAGACUACCUAGGCGACGAUCUGUAGCUGGUCUGAGAGGACGAUCAGCCACACUGGAACUGAGACACGGUCCAGACUCCUACGGGAGGCAGCAGUGGGGAAUUUUCCGCAAUGGGCGAAAGCCUGACGGAGCAAUACCGCGUGAGGGACGAAGGCUUUUGGGUCGUAAACCUCUUUUCUCAAGGAAGAAUUAGACGGUACUUGAGGAAUAAGCAUCGGCUAACUCCGUGCCAGCAGCCGCGGUAAUACGGAGGAUGCAAGCGUUAUCCGGAAUGAUUGGGCGUAAAGCGUCCGCAGGUGGUUUUGUAAGUCUGCUGUUAAAGCGUUAGGCUCAACCUAAUAAGGGCAGUGGAAACUAUGAGACUAGAGUAUGUUAGGGGUAGAGGGAAUUCCCAGUGUAGCGGUGAAAUGCGUAGAGAUUGGGAAGAACACCGGUGGCGAAAGCGCUCUGCUAGGACAAUACUGACACUGAGGGACGAAAGCUAGGGGAGCGAAAGGGAUUAGAUACCC
rnacentral:rRNA from 1 species